UAAUGCCGGAUGCUCCGACUCCUCGCAUGGGGUGUCGGGAAAGAUUUCAUCGGUAUGGGAUGGGGUCGCGUCCUAUCAGGUAGUCGGCGGGGUAACGGCCCACCGAGCCUACGACGGGUAGCCGGCCUGAGAGGGCGACCGGCCACAUUGGGACUGAGAUACGGCCCAGACUCCUACGGGAGGCAGCAGUGGGGAAUAUUGCACAAUGGGCGCAAGCCUGAUGCAGCGACGCCGCGUGCGGGAUGACGGCCUUCGGGUUGUAAACCGCUUUUGAUCGGGAGCAAGCCUUCGGGUGAGUGUACCUUUCGAAUAAGCACCGGCUAACUACGUGCCAGCAGCCGCGGUAAUACGUAGGGUGCAAGCGUUAUCCGGAAUUAUUGGGCGUAAAGGGCUCGUAGGCGGUUCGUCGCGUCCGGUGUGAAAGUCCAUCGCUUAACGGUGGAUCUGCGCCGGGUACGGGCGGGCUGGAGUGCGGUAGGGGAGACUGGAAUUCCCGGUGUAACGGUGGAAUGUGUAGAUAUCGGAA
rnacentral:rRNA from 1 species